AGCAGCAGCCGGCGGUAAUACAGAGGGUGCGAGCGUUAAUCGGAUUUACUGGGCGUAAAGCGUGCGUAGGCGGCUUUUUAAGUCGGAUGUGAAAUCCCUGAGCUUAACUUAGGAAUUGCAUUCGAUACUGGGAAGCUAGAGUAUGGGAGAGGAUGGUAGAAUUCCAGGUGUAGCGGUGAAAUGCGUAGAGAUCUGGAGGAAUACCGAUGGCGAAGGCAGCCAUCUGGCCUAAUACUGACGCUGAGGUACGAAAGCAUGGGGAGCAAACAGGAUUAGAUACCCCCGUAGUCCCUGUCUCUUAUA
rnacentral:rRNA from 1 species